UACAGAGGUGGCAAGCGUUGUUCGGAAUUACUGGGCGUAAAGGGCGCGUAGGCGGCCUUCUAAGUCAGACGUGAAAUCCCCAGGCUUAACUUGGGAACUGCGUCUGAUACUGGGAGGCUUGAGUGCGGGAGAGGGAUGUGGAAUUCCAGGUGUAGCGGUGAAAUGCGUAGAUAUCUGGAGGAACACCGGUGGCGAAGGCGGCGUUCUGGACUGCUACUGACACUGAGGAACGAAAGCCAGGGGAGCAAACGGG
rnacentral:rRNA from 1 species